UGCCAGCUUCUCAUGUUCAAGCAUAGAUGGUCAUUCUCCUAUUGAAACCUGCCGAAACAGUGCCUACCUGUUAGGGCAUGUCUCUUGACAACACGACUUGCUCCUCGGUUCCCUCUAUGAAGUCGACGGACCAAUGUUUGCACACUUACACGACCACCUGUAGAAACAGUGUAUUUGUAAACGCGCAGAUGCCCUUUUUUAAAAAA
rnacentral:lncRNA from 1 species